ensembl:lncRNA
CUUCUUUUUAUAGUCUGUACACAUCAGUGAAGUGCUAGUCAAAGAAAACACCACAGGCUUCAGAAUAUAUUUUUUUAUUCAAACUUUAAAUUUCAUCGUCUCUACAGUGUAAAAGGUCAUGAAUUCAAAGCCCUAAAAGGACUCAAAGAGAUGGACUCAUGUCGAUUUGGUAGGAAAUCCAUCUAUAGUAUCCAAAUAAACCAUUCAAUAAUGAUUUUCAAGGUGGGAUGGGAGAAUAAAAUAUAGGAAUCAUAAGUUAAAAAAGCUUUUGAGGUCGAAAGAACAUCUUUUAACAACCCAGAACUCUGUGCAGGCUAUAAAACAGAACAUAAAAUAAAUAUAAACACGAUUAAAAAACAUCCAUUUGGUACACAGUAAACCAGUGUGAGACUACAGCUAAAAUUCAAAGAAUAUCAAUGAUAAAUACAGUACAAUAUGUACUUACAGUAUGCCAUCGUACACCCACAAGCCCCCAGCCACACAUACAUGUACAGCACAAACAUAAGAAAAUAAACAUCGAUAAUCUCUGACAAAAAUGAUAGUCAUGUGCAUUUACACUGUACACACUGUAAUACUGCUGCAGGCGCUGAUCGCUUUCUUUAUCAUUUUUAUGCAUGUUUUUUUUUUCUUUCUGCAUUAUAAAGUGCAGCUAUCCCAGACUUCUGUGAUUAGUGAUCUAGCAAUAAUACACCAUUUAUCACACCAAUAUAUUAUAUGUGUCUAUAUAUAUAUAUAUACCAUUUGAAGGGAAGCCAAAUGGGAAUUUUCUCAUGAGAUAUGAAGAAUCACAUUAUUGCUCUUAAGGUUAAGGAUUGGUCACAUCAGCAGGACAUUGUACUAUACAAGGGGAACCAUAUAUUUAAUCAAGCACCAAAAGCUUAAAACCUUUAAAAGAAUAAUCUGGGUUAUUUUCAUUUCAUUUUAUCCAGGGCUGCAUUUAUUUGAUGAAAAAUACAGUAAAACGGUAAUAAUCGGCAAAAAAAUUACUAUUUAAUACAACUGUUUCCUAUUUCAAUACAUUUGAAACUGUAAUUUAUUUCUGUGAUCAAAGCUGGAUUUUCAGCAUCAUUACUCCAGUCUUCAGUGUCACAUGAUCCUUCAGAAAUCAUUCUAAUAUGCUGAUUUGCUGCUCAAGAAAUAUUUCUUAAUUGUUAUUCUGCAAUCCUUUUUUACAGGAUUCUUUGAUGAAUAGAAAGUAAAAAAAUAAUAAAAGGAAUUUAUGUGAAAUAGUAUUCUUUUGUAACAUUGUAAAUGUCUUUACUGUCACUUUUAAUCAAUUAAAUGCAUCCUUGCGGAAUAAAAGUAAAUCAAAUCUUACUGACCCUGAAAAUGUAGUGUCUACAAGAUGGCGCCGCUGAGUCCGGUCGCCGUCCCAGGUCGCUCCGCUUAGAUUGUGUUUUUAUUUACUUUUUUACCUACUUUUGCUUUCUCUUUUUGCACACAUAACCUCUGCACUGAUCACUUACGACAAAGGAACACUUUUGGACAUUGGAUACCGCUUCACUAACCUGUUCCAGGACACUUUAUCCUCCAACCCAUCGUGGCCAUCUGAGAUUCUCCGGAACACCGAGAUGAACAAUGGCCACC